rnacentral:lncRNA from 1 species
UAAGCUCAUAUGAAUUUAAAAAGCAGCAGUUCAUACAGUCUAUUUACAGUCCGAACAAUCUACUACAAAUGCUCUACAACCAUGAAUUCAUCCAAGAUCCUAGAACUAAGUGUAACGCAAUUAACCAAUAAAACAGUAAAAUUUCUAAUGAAGAUCAACAGCAGCAGCAUUUCAAUUUCACGAAGGGAUUACAUUAAUUCAGUCUCGAAUUUGUCCCUGGAAUGUGAAUAAGAGUGAAGGAGAAGAGGUCAGCUAAGCAAAUAGACGAGCAGCAGCAGAUUAAUACUCGAAACAGCCCAGAAAAGCAGAAUGAACAACUCAGAAACACUUUAAAAUCAAGCAGGAUCAACAACAAUAAAUUCUAGCAGUAUAGAAUCAAAGAGUAACCCAAGAAGUGAUUUAGAACCCAGAAAUGUUCAACAAUCAGAUAAAAUCCAACCAAUCAGCCCAACAACCACUCGAAUCCCAGCAGAAUCCGAACCGAUUUCUAAAAUUUUAGCUUCAAUUUAUCUCAAAACCAAAUGGAACACAAUAAUCUAGAGAACACUUCGCAAUUCAACCAAAAAAAAAUAGUUGUUUGAUAUUGAAAAUCUUUUUCUUUUCAAUAUUUUUUCGGAAUUCCCCCUCCUUUUCUGCCAAUUUCCGCCUCAAUUUAUAGGUGUUCACUCAAUCCAUUACCACUCGUAUCUCUUUAAUUUUUAAUUUAUCCAAUAAUUCAGUGCCAAUUUAUUUAAUCAGUAGUUCCAAUUUCUACCUUACUGUCCACUAGAACCUUCUUAAGUAGGUAAAUACAUUCUAUUAAACAAUGAGUUAAAUCAAAUUUCUGAACAAAUCUCAACUAUUCUGACCAAAUUUAUUGAACGAGAUAAAAUUUCUAAUCCUAAAACAAACUAUUAUACUAGUUAUAUGAAACAAAUCCAUAAAACCAAACUACAAAAACAGUGAAUAAUAAUGACUUAUACCAGAAGACGGAUUGAAUUUCAAUUGAAAUUGCCCCCAAAACAGAAAAAAGAGAUGAGGAAGAUGAACACUAGAAUAAUAACUAGCUAAUUAAACAAAUAAACAUGAAAGAAACAUACCGACUAAAUUGGAAGUCAAUCCGGGUACUCUGUCUCUCUGAUUCUUUUGAAUUUGAGGCCGAAAUAAACUUCAAUUGUGUGUUCUCAAUCGAGAACACACAACUGAAGUCAAUUCCAAACACAAACUUUUGAAACUUGCAGAUCGUAAUUAAAACGGGGUCGAAUUCUGACCUAAUAUUCGAACAGUUCGAGAGGGAUUUGAGGGAAACUAUUGAUGAAUUGGGGGUGAGGGGUCAAGGAUACCAUAGGGUGUUAGUUUGGGAUUGAUUGGAAGCGGCGCCGCCAUCGGGAUCUUGUGGCGGCGCUAGGACUCUUGGACUUAAAUUGAUAUUUGACGAGUCCUGGGUUAAUUCGAAAGGAACUAAUGGUGUUAUGGUGGUGAGGGAGGUCCAGGGGUCAAGGGGUGUGAGUUUGGUGUUCGAUGGAUGGACUAGGGGUUUUGACUGAUUAUUUGAUUGAAUAUUCGAAAAACUCCACAAGGAUUCGAUGGAAACUGUUAUAGGGGCUGGGACGGGGAGGUCAUGGGGGUUCGAUGAGGGCGUUGGGCCACCGUCCGCCGCCGUGGGCGAUUUCCGGCAGCGGAUGACGGUGGCGUUACCAGGGCUCGUUUGAGUCUCUGCGAAAGACGACGGGUGGG